ACAUCUGGUCAUCACUGAUUGAAGAAAAUAAGAACAACCUUAGGUUUCUCUUCAGCACUGUAGCCAGGCUGAAAAAAAGUCAGAGCACUGUUAAGCCAACCAUUGUCAUAUGCUGUGGGAGUGUCUGGUCAGGCAUGGUCAAGGUUCCUGUCAUCCGUCCUUUGGGGUGGAGUUGGCCAGCUCAUCACCUGUUUUCAAUCUCCGGGGUUCCACCUAGAGGGUUUUUAAGCCAGCACUGCCUGCCACUCCUCGCCAGUUCGUCCUGCUACCAUCUGUGAUUCAUCACCCGUCGCACUCACCAGUAGUGCUGGUUCCGUCUCCAUCCUGUUUUUCCGUCUCCUCGGAACCCAAGGACCACAUACACAACUUCUCCUCAGCCUGCCCUUCAGUCCAUACUCUCCACCUCCUUGGAAUCUGGACCGGACUCUCCACACUCUCGAUCCUCUCUGGAAUGCUCCCAUGGCAGCCUUUUCCCCCGCUUAAUAACCAGGGUCUCCAAGUAAGCCCAAGACUAUCCACUGGCACUCCAUACCUCUGUCCCUUACUCGUUUGUCACUCAGUAACACCCUUCUCCUGUGUUUACAGAAAGUUCCCGUUCGAGUUCUCCCUGUGCUCUACGCCUGUUUCCCCGCCCACGGAUUUCCCUUAGUUUCUGCGAAUGGUUUCUGUUAAACCCAGUUCUGUUCACGUUUUUGUUCCUUCUAAUAAAUUAUACAUAGUUCGA